rnacentral:rRNA from 1 species
UACGGGGGGGGCAAGCGUUGUUCGGAAUUACUGGGCGUAAAGGGCUCGUAGGUGGCCAACUAAGUCAGACGUGAAAUCCCUCGGCUUAACCGGGGAACUGCGUCUGAUACUGGAUGGCUUGAGUUCGGGAGAGGGAUGCGGAAUUCCAGGUGUAGCGGUGAAAUGCGCAGAUAUCAGGAGGAACACCGGUGGCGAAGGCGGGUCUCUGGGCCGUAACUGACGCUGAGGAGCGAAAGCAUGGGGAGCGAACAGG